CCGACGCAACCCACUGAUUGGGUGCUCAGAGAAGAGUUACAGUUUAGCUUGAAGCAGGGCUCUGCUUUCGUGAUAUACGGUUGAAUAAACAGUUCCUUUUAGACUAUGAACUUGAACGGUAGUUCUUAUUAUUUUCCGACGAAAGAUCCUAUAAUUGCAUAGAUAAAACAGUGACGACGAGGAUAAAUUUUGUUCAACUUUUUCUCCGUUUCCUUUUUUUUAACGACCACCGGUAAUAUUUAAGUACUUUUGGCGUGAAAGUGACUACGAAAGGUUGGUAUCAGCAUUGUCGGUAUAUACUGUGAUUAUAAGUGAGGCGGUAAAACCGGUUCAACGACCAAUACCACUUUGACAGACCGUAGCCCAAACAGAGGAAGUGAACAACGUCGGAGGAAGAUACAGAAAAGUGCAUUCUGUGUCACUGGUCUAGUGGUCUAGUCUGAGCCUGAGGUGGACCAAAGUGCAUUUUUGCUGCUGUUGAUGCCUUGGCCCGCGUAGUUCAUCGACCUUGUUUAUAUUGGUGACAAUCACCGUGAGCACCUGUGUAUAAUAGUUGCUGUCCUGCGAUCUCACCUGCGGAUAAGUGCGGAUAAGUGUUACUUUUGAAGCUGAAGAACUUGUUGCUGUUUCUGCUGUUGUUGUUGGUUUUAUUUGCUGCUGUUGUUGUGAUUGGAGGUGCUUGUGGAUUUUGCAUCGAAUUUCGACGCCGUGCAUGCUUUUGUUUACCUGAGCUGCUUUUUGGUAUCUGUUUUGGAGUGAGCUUUUCAUCUGUGUGCUCGAAGAGAGUGUAACUGCAGAUUUCCUUGGGUGGUCGUAUCGUAUCGGCUCAUAAGCGCCAGCUCAAGAUCCCCACGGACUCUCGCCGACAACCGACUAAGCGUUUUGUUUUCACCGGAGAGAGUCCCAGCACACCAGAUCAGCCCUGUAACAGCAAAAGCAACAAAUCCAACAGCAACAAGCGCAAAAGAACUGAUGACGAUGAGUCAGAGAAUUCCGACUCCGAUUUUUACGGUUAUGCGGCCGAUUCCUUCUUAUUCGGGGAGGAGAAUACCUCUGCGAGAGAUUUUUGGUCAAAGCAUGAUGCCGUGUCACCCGCACGUAAUGCAGUUCGUGAGUCGGAAAAGAUUCUCUGUACCGAAGGCAAACCUGCAAAUAGGCGAAGUAAAAGAAUCGCGAAGAAGCGUAAAAUAGAAGAUUAUAUGUAUUAUUGAAUUGAAUAAUUUUAGAACAUAAGUUCGUUCGAAUUUUAAAUAGUAUAUAAAAAGAAAUCUAAAUCGAGUGGAUUGUUAAAUGCAAAUAUCUAAUUUGAUUCUGAGUAUAAUUUUAUAGUCGACAGAAUAAGAUUUCUAAUUGAAAGUUCGAAAUGUUUAAGAACAAUCUCAAGGAAAGAGAAGUUGUAGUAACUAGGCGUUCGGUUAAACCGACGCAACCCACUGAUUGGGUGCUCAGAGAAGAGUUACAGUUUAGCUUGAAGCAGGGCUCUGCUUUCGUGAUAUACGGUUGAAUAAACAGUUCCUUUUAGACUAUGAACUUGAA